rnacentral:lncRNA from 1 species
AGCUUAAAUAACAGAUCUGUCAGAGUUGGCCACAUCUAAUGUUAACUAUUAGAUAAAAGAAAGUAAUAUGUGAACAACAAUAUACCACCAAAUAGGUAACAAUAUGUCAGGAUACAUGUCUUACAGAAAAUGUAUGAAGACUUACAAAUAAAUAAUAUUUACAACAUUUAAUGAAAUAAAUUAUAUUCAAUGCUAUACAUACACAAAGAAUUGUAUUAAAAAUUACUUAAACAGAGAAUGACAUUGAAAACUAACACUAGUUGUCUCCAAUUUCUGUAGACAGCAAAUGAUCUGGUAUGUUUUUCCUAUUAAUGAUUUUGCAAAUUGCUAUGCUCAGGCCCGUAGCCAGGAAUUUUCAAAGGGGGGUUCACAGUCAUAACGGUCACAAUUGGAACAGAACAUUGACUUUAACAGUGCUUAUUUGUUUUCAAGGGGGCGUUCGUCCGAAACCCCCCUGGCUACGCUAUUUAUUUACUGGUGGUAAUCCUUCAGAGAGAUGGGGUUUAAGGAGGCAGGAGGCACAUGCCCCCUCCCUUUUGUUGGAAAAAUUUUGUUAAUUAUAUAAGGAAUCACUGUAGCAUGACCAAUAAAAAAUGUUUCUACUGGUCCUUAAGUCAGGAAAAAAGGAAUAUAUUUUACUAUUUCCAGAUCUGAAAUUAUAAAAAAAUUUGUUCCCACUCGUCAUAUACAUUUUGUGGUCUGACAAAAUCUCAAACUCUUAAAAGUCAGUGUAAUUUGAGUUAGUGCUUUAAAAUGUGUUGGAUGUUAUAAUCAAAGAAAAACACAUAUAACAGGCUAUUUCAUUUCUUGUGUUUAAAUUUUUUAAUAAAUUCAAUGUUUAUUUGGUAUUAUGAUCUUUUGAGCGGUUAAUUACACUUUCCUUACAAUGUAUUUUGGUUAUAGAUAGUGUUGUGCGCGGCACAGUACAUUUCAGUACAGAAUAGACAUGUAAUUUAUCAAAAAUUUUAAUAACAAGAAAUCAAGCAAAUUCCAUAAUUAAAAAUAAUUCCAAGUUCAAAUAAUAGCCUGUUCUGGAUAGUUUGGCAAGCAAAAGGUGAUGUCAUAAUGUUUGAAUAAAGAUAUUGACUUGUUUGCUGUAGUAAAAAAAAUAUUUAUAAAAUUUAAUCUUCAUACUUGAACUAUAUUUUAACAAAAACGUAUAUGAGAAUAAAAUAUUUAAAAGGUAAAGAAAAAAAUGCCUCAACAGACCCAACAUCUAACUCCUUCAUAUAAGUGAUUAGUAUAGCACAUUCUACGUCGUUGUCUCAAAUAAUUGAGCAAACAUCAUUUUCCUUAAUAUCAAUAUCUCAAUUUG